UUAUCUAAUGCCUGUACCCUCAUUGUAUCUAGGAAGUAACUAACUUGCUUUUGAUUUUACAGGCUCAUAGGUUGAAAGGACUUGCAUUGUCUUGGAUCAGACUGGACCAUGGACUGUUGAAUUAAUGCUGAAAUGAGAAAGAAGCCAGAUAAUAACCAAAGACAGAAGUCUUCAUGGGUGGUGAAAACCAAGAAUCCAGAAGCAGAAUUCUAUGAAGUGGACCUCAAAUUGUCUCCCUCGGGGAAGAGAAGAGAAAGCAUUUAUCCAGUGAUUUCCAUCCUCCAUUCGUCAAGGUAAUCACAUGAAUAUUAACUUUCACAAACUUUCACGUGAGUUCUGAACAGUUUAGGCAGACAUUCCACUAAGCCAGUGCAAAAUAAACCCGGUGAGAAACAGUGUGAGGAGCCCUAGGGUACAUGUAAAGGUUACAUGAUUUGAGCCCGAGGUAAAGGUACUGACAAUUUGCACUUGUGUAAAAUUGAUCCAAGCUUUGGAGCUGUUCCCUGCAGCAGUGGCUGGAAAAAGAAGGGGGGAAAAGGAGAUUUAAAGUGGUGUAAAAGAGAAUCUUAUUAUACUGCAUAAAAUUAUUUUUGUAAAAGGA